AUUGAACGCUGGCGGCAGGCUUAACACAUGCAAGUCGAGCGGGGGAAGGUAGCUUGCUACCGGACCUAGCGGCGGACGGGUGAGUAAUGCUUAGGAAUCUGCCUAUUAGUGGGGGACAACAUCUCGAAAGGGAUGCUAAUACCACAUACGUCCUACGGGAGAAAGCAGGGGAUCUUCGGACCGUGCGCUAAUAGAUGAGCCUAAGUCGGAUUAGCUAGUUGGUGGGUAAAGGCCUACCAAGGCGACGAUCUGUAGCGGGUCUGAGAGGAUGAUACGCCACGCUGGGACUUAGGCACGGCCCAGACUCCUACGGGAGGCAGCAGUGGGGAAUAUUGGACAAGGGGGGGAACCCUGAUCCAGCCAUGCUGCGUGUGUGAAGAAGGCCUUAUGGUUGUAAAGCACUUUAAGCGAGGAGGAGGCUACUCUAGUUAAUACCUAGGGAUAGUGGACGUUACUCGCAGAAUAAGCACCGGCUAACUCUGUGCCAGCCGCCGCGGUAA
rnacentral:rRNA from 1 species